rnacentral:rRNA from 1 species
AGUGAACGCUGGCGGUAGGCCUAACACAUGCAAGUCGAACGGCAGCACAGUAAGAGCUUGCUCUUACGGGUGGCGAGUGGCGGACGGGUGAGGAAUACAUCGGAAUCUACUUUUUCGUGGGGGAUAACGUAGGGAAACUUACGCUAAUACCGCAUACGACCUACGGGUGAAAGCAGGGGAUCUUCGGACCUUGCGCGAUUGAAUGAGCCGAUGUCGGAUUAGCUAGUUGGCGGGGUAAAGGCCCACCAAGGCGACGAUCCGUAGCUGGUCUGAGAGGAUGAUCAGCAGAACUGGAACUGAGACACGAUCCAGCCCACUACGAGAGGGAGCAGAGUGGAAUAUUGGACAAUGGGCGCAAGCCUGAUCCAGCCAUACCGCGUGGGUGAAGAAGGCCUUCGGGUUGUAAAGCCCUUUUGUUGGGAAAGAAAAGCAGCAGGUUAAUACCCCGCUGUUCUGACGGUACCCAAAGAAUAAGCACCGGCUAACUUCGUG